GAUGAACGCUAGCUACAGGCUUAACACAUGCAAGUCGAGGGGUAACGAGAGGAAAGCUUGCUUUCCUUGUCGACGACCGGCGCACGGGUGAGUAACGCGUAUCCAACCUGCCCCCAACUAGGGAAUAACCUUGCGAAAGUAAGACUAAUACCCUAUAAUUUCCUCAGAUGCCAUCUGACGAGGAAUAAAGAUUUAUCGGUUGUGGAUGGGGAUGCGUCUGAUUAGCUUGUUGGCGGGGUAACGGCCCGCCAAGGCAACGAUCAGUAGGGGUUCUGAGAGGAGGGUCCCCCACAUUGGAACUGAGACACGGUCCAAACUCCUACGGGAGGCAGCAGUGAGGAAUAUUGGUCAAUGGGCGGAAGCCUGAACCAGCCAAGUAGCGUGCAGGAUGACGGCCCUAUGGGUUGUAAACUGCUUUUAUACAGGAAUAAAGUUAGCCACGUGUGGUUAUUUGUAGGUACUGUAUGAAUAAGGACCGGCUAAUUCCGUGCCAGCCGCCGCGGUAA
rnacentral:rRNA from 1 species